GAUGAACGCUGGCGGCGUGCCUAAUACAUGCAAGUCGAGCGAACGGACGAGAAGCUUGCUUCUCUGAUGUUAGCGGCGGACGGGUGAGUAACACGUGGAUAACCUACCUAUAAGACUGGGAUAACUUCGGGAAACCGGAGCUAAUACCGGAUAAUAUAUUGAACCGCAUGGUUCAAUAGUGAAAGACGGUCUUGCUGUCACUUAUAGAUGGAUCCGCGCCGCAUUAGCUAGUUGGUAAGGUAACGGCUUACCAAGGCAACGAUGCGUAGCCGACCUGAGAGGGUGAUCGGCCACACUGGAACUGAGACACGGUCCAGACUCCUACGGGAGGCAGCAGUAGGGAAUCUUCCGCAAAGGGCGAAAGCCUGACGGAGCAACGCCGCGUGAGUGAUGAAGGUCUUCGGAUCGUAAAACUCUGUUAUUAGGGAAGAACAAAUGUGUAAGUAACUGUGCACAUCUUGACGGUACCUAAUCAGAAAGCCACGGCUAACUACGUG
rnacentral:rRNA from 1 species